rnacentral:rRNA from 1 species
GACCUGAGCUCAGGCAAGACUACCCGCUGAACUUAAGCAUAUCAAUAAGCGGAGGAAAAGAAACUAACCAGGAUUCCCCUAGUAACGGCGAGUGAACCGGGAAAAGCCCAACUUGAAAAUCUCCAGCCUUCGGCUGGCGAACUGUACUCUAUCCAGGCGUAUUCUGUGGCCAGCCAGUCUCACCUGCCUUGGUCCGGCACUUCUGAGAGCGGGAAAACGCCGUCGAACCGGUGCACCUAACUUCACCAAGCGCUUUCCCUGACUCAGGCCGUUGCGCAUGCUGCCCUUAACAAGUGGUUGAUUCAC